GACGAACGCUGGCGGCGUGCUUAACACAUGCAAGUCGAACGGAAAGGCCCUGCUUUUGUGGGGUGCUCGAGUGGCGAACGGGUGAGUAACACGUGAGUAACCUGCCCCUGACUUUGGGAUAACUUCAGGAAACUGGGGCUAAUACCGGCUAGGAGCUCCUGCUGCAUGGUGGGGGUUGAAACGUUUCGGCGGUUGGGGAUGGACUCGCGGCUUAUCAGCUUGUUGGUGGGGUAGUGGCUUACCAAGGCUUUGACGGGUAGCCGGCCUGAGAGGGUGACCGGCCACAUUGGGACUGAGAUACGGCCCAGACUCCUACGGGAGGCAGCAGUGGGGAAUAUUGCACAAUGGGCGGAAGCCUGAUGCAGCAACGCCGCGUGCGGGAUGACGGCCUUCGGGUUGUAAACCGCUUUCGCCUGUGACGAAGCGUGAGUGACGGUAAUGGGUAAAGAAGCACCGGCUAACUACGUG
rnacentral:rRNA from 1 species